rnacentral:rRNA from 1 species
AUUGAACGCUGGCGGCAGGCCUAACACAUGCAAGUCGAACGAGUGGCGGACGGGUGAGUAAUGUCUGGGCAACUGCCUGAUGGAGGGGGAUAACUACUGGAAACCGGAGCUAAUACCGGAUACUUAUAGAUGGAUCCUGGCUGCAUUAGCUAGUUGGUAAGGUAACGGCUUACCAAGGCAACGAUGCAUAGCCGACCUGAGAGGGUGAUGGGCCACACUGGAACUGAGACACGGUCCAGACGCCUACGGGAGGCAGCAGUGGGGAAUAUUGCACAAUGGGCGCAAGCCUGAUGCAGCCAUGCCGCGUGUAUGAAGAAGGCCUUCGGGUUGUAAAGUACUUUCAGCGGGGAGGCGUUACCCGCAGAAGAAGCACCGGCUAACUCCGUGCCAGCCGCCGCGGUAAUAC